AGCAGCCGCGGUAAUUCCAGCUCCAAUAGCGUAUAUUAAAGUUGUUGCAGUUAAAAAGCUCGUAGUUGAAUUUCGGGAUCAAAGGAUCGGUCAUGCCUUGGUAUGUACUGGUUUUAUUGGUUCUCACCUUCUAAAGAACCAUAAUGUCAUUCAUUUGAUGUUAUGGGGAAUUAGGACUGUUACCUUGAAAAAUUAGAGUGUUUAAAGCAGGCUUACGCUUGAAUACAUUAGCAUGGAAUAAUGAAAUAGGACAUCAGAUUCUAUUUUGUUGGUUUCUAGGAUCGAUGUAAUGAUUAAUAGGGAUAGUUGGGGGCAUUAGUAUUCAAUUGUCAGAGGUGAAAUUCUUGGAUUUAUUGAAGACUAACUACUGCGAAAGCAUUUGCCAAGGAUGUUUUCAUUAAUCAAAGAACGAAAGUUAGGGGAUCGAAGACGAUCAGAUACCGUCGUAGUCUUAACCAUAAACUAUGCCGACUAGGGAUCGGAUGAUGUUAAUUUUAUAAUGACUCAUUCC
rnacentral:misc_RNA from 1 species